GAUGAACGCUGGCGGCGUGCUUAACACAUGCAAGUCGAACGGAAAGGCCCAAGCUUGCUUGGGUACUCGAGUGGCGAACGGGUGAGUAACACGUGGGUGAUCUGCCCUGCACUUCGGGAUAAGCCUGGGAAACUGGGUCUAAUACCGGAUAGGACCACUUCUUGGAUGUUGUGGUGGAAAGUUUUUUCGGUGUGGGAUGAGCUCGCGGCCUAUCAGCUUGUUGGUGGGGUAAUGGCCUACCAAGGCGUCGUCGGGUAGCCGGCCUGAGAGGGUGUACGGCGACAUUGGGAGUGAGAGACGGCCCAGACUCGUACGGGAGGCAGCAGUGGGGAAUAUUGCACAAUGGGCGCAAGCCUGAUGCAGCGACGCCGCGUGGGGGAUGACGGCCUUCGGGUUGUAAACUCCUUUCGCUAGGGACGAAGCGUUUUUGUGACGGUACCGGGAGAAGAAGCACCGGCUAACUACGUG
rnacentral:rRNA from 1 species